UUUUUGAUUUUUUUUU
rnacentral:sRNA from 1 species